GCGAACUGAUUAGAAGCUUGCUUCUAUGACGUUAGCGGCGGACGGGUGAGUAACACGUGGGCAACCUGCCUGUAAGACUGGGAUAACUCCGGGAAACCGGAGCUAAUACCGGAUAACAUUUUUUCUUGCAUAAGAGAAAAUUGAAAGAUGGUUUCGGCUAUCACUUACAGAUGGGCCCGCGGUGCAUUAGCUAGUUGGUGAGGUAACGGCUCACCAAGGCAACGAUGCAUAGCCGACCUGAGAGGGUGAUCGGCCACACUGGGACUGAGACACGGCCCAGACUCCUACGGGAGGCAGCAGUAGGGAAUCUUCCGCAAUGGACGAAAGUCUGACGGAGCAACGCCGCGUGAGUGAUGAAGGCUUUCGGGUCGUAAAACUCUGUUGUUAGGGAAGAACAAGUACAAGAGUAACUGCUUGUACCUUGACGGUACCUAACCAGAAAGCCACGGCUAACUACGUGCCAGCAGCCGCGGUAAUACGUAGGUGGCAAGCGUUAUCCGGAAUUAUUGGGCGUAAAGCGCGCGCAGGCGGUUUCUUAAGUCUGAUGUGAAAGCCCACGGCUCAACCGUGGAGGGUCAUUGGAAACUGGGGAACUUGAGUGCAGAAGAGAAAAGCGGAAUUCCACGUGUAGCGGUGAAAUGCGUAGAGAUGUGGAGGACACCAGUGGCGAAGCGGCUUUUUGGUCUGUAACUGACGCUGAGCGCGAAGCGUGGGGAGCAAACAGAUUAGAUACCCUGG
rnacentral:rRNA from 1 species